GACGAACGCUGGCGGCGUGCUUAACACAUGCAAGUCGAACGGAAAGGCCCUGCUUUUGUGGGGUGCUCGAGUGGCGAACGGGUGAGUAACACGUGAGUAACCUGCCCUUUACUUUGGGAUAACUUCAUGAAACUGGGGCUAAUACCGGAUAGGAGCUCCUGCUGCAUGGUGGGGGUUGGAAAUUUUCGGCGGUUGGGGAUGGACUCGCGGCUUAUCAGCUUGUUGGUGGGGUAGUGGCUUACCAAGGCUUUGACGGGUAGCCGGCCUGAGAGGGUGACCGGCCACAUUGGGACUGAGAUACGGCCCAGACUCCUACGGGAGGCAGCAGUGGGGAAUAUUGCACAAUGGGCGGAAGCCUGAUGCAGCAACGCCGCGUGCGGGAUGACGGCCUUAGGGUUGUAAACCGCUUUCGCCUGUGACGAAGCGUGAGUGACGGUAAUGGGUAAAGAAGCACCGGCUAACUACGUG
rnacentral:rRNA from 1 species